CCUACGGGUGGCAGCAGUGGGGAAUAUUGCACAAUGGGGGAAACCCUGAUGCAGCGACGCCGCGUGAGGGAAGAAGUACUUCGUUACGUAAAGCUCUAUCAGCAGGGAAGAAAUACUGACCUUACGGUCAGCAGACGGUACCUGAGUAAGAAGCGCCGGCUAACUACGUGCCAGCAGCGGCGGUAAUACGUAGGGGGCAAGCGUUAUCCGGAUUUACUGGGUGUAAAGGGAGCGUAGACGGGGCGUCAAGUCUGGAGUGAAAUACCGCGGCUCAACCGCGGAACUGCAUUGGAAACUGGCGGCCUAGAGUGCAGUAGGGGUAGGCGGAAUUCGUAGUGUAGCGGUGAAAUGCUUAGAUAUUACGAAGAACUCCGGUGGCGAAGGCAGCUUACUAGACCGCAACUGACAUUGAGGCUCGAAAGCGUGGGGAGCAAACAGGAUUAGAUACCCUGGUAGUC
rnacentral:rRNA from 1 species